rnacentral:rRNA from 1 species
GGGAUUGCCCCAGUAACGGCGAGUGAAGCGGCAACAGCUCAAAUUUGAAAUCUGGCCCCAGGCCCGAGUUGUAAUUUGCAGAGGAUGCUUUUGGCGCGGUGCCUUCCGAGUUCCCUGGAACGGGACGCCAUAGAGGGUGAGAGCCCCGUACGGUUGGACACCAAGCCUUUGUAAAGCUCCUUCGACGAGUCGAGUAGUUUGGGAAUGCUGCUCAAAAUGGGAGGUAUAUUUCUUCUAAAGCUAAAUAUAGGCCAGAGACCGAUAGCGCACAAGUAGAGUGAUCGAAAGAUGAAAAGCACUUUGAAAAGAGGGUUAAACAGCACGUGAAAUUGUUAAAAGGGAAGCGCUUGUGACCAGACUUGCGUCCGGUGAAUCACCCAGCUCUCGCGGCUGGGGCACUUCGCCGGCACAGGCCAGCAUCAGCUUGCCGUCGGGGACAAAAGCUUCAGGAACGUAGCUCUCUUCGGGGAGUGUUAUAGCCUGUUGCAUAAUACCCUUCGGCGGGCUGAGGUACGCGCUCCGCAAGGAUGCUGGCGUANUGGUCAUCAGCGACCCGUCUUGANCNGA